rnacentral:tRNA from 1 species
AGCCCUGUAGCUCAGUUGGUAGAGCAUGGUGUUUGCAACGCCAGGGUUGUGGGUUUGAUUCCCACGGGGGGCCA